rnacentral:tRNA from 2 species
GAUGGGGUGAUAGCUCAGUUGGGAGUAGCGUACGACUGAAGUUGAACUUUAGCCAAUUCUUAAAUCGUAAGGUCGCCGGUUCAAUCCCGGCUCGCCCCAGUUUCUCUUUUUUCUUGCUUCCCCUAACCAGUUUGCUUGAAAAUACCUUCUUCCUUCACGAACUCUUGACAGAAGGUAUUGAAAUCCUCAGUUCUUUCUCAAUCCGUCAAUUUCUAAAUCCAAUGGGGGUUUUUUUUUGGGCCUUUUCAAAGAUCCUUGCUGAACAGAACAUCUGCAAAUGCUGGCAGCUCGCCUUAGUUCGUAGAAUUUAAAUUCUACACUUGACU